rnacentral:rRNA from 1 species
GACGAACGCUGGCGGCGUGCUUAACACAUGCAAGUCGAACGGAAAGGCCCUGCUUUUGUGGGGUGCUCGAGUGGCGAACGGGUGAGUAACACGUGAGUAACCUGCCCUUGACUUUGGGAUAACUUCAGGAAACUGGGGCUAAUACCGGAUAGGAGCUCCUGCUGCAUGGUGGGGGUUGGAAAGUUUCGGCGGUUGGGGAUGGACUCGCGGCUUAUCAGCUUGUUGGUGGGGUAGUGGCUUACCAAGGCCUUGACGGGUAGCCGGCCUGGGAGGGUGACCGGCCACAUUGGGACUGAGAUACGGCCCAGACUCCUACGGGAGGCAGCAGUGGGGAAUAUUGCACAAUGGGCGGAAGCCUGAUGCGGCAACGCCGCGUGCGGGAUGACGGCCUUCGGGUUGUAAACCGCUUUCGCCUGUGACGAAGCGUGAGUGACGGUAAUGGGUAAAGAAGCACCGGCUAACUACGUG